ensembl:misc_RNA Metazoa_SRP Metazoan signal recognition particle RNA
UCUCAGCACAGUGGUGCAUGCCUGUAGUCCCAGCUACUCAGGAGGCUGAGGUGGGAGGAUCGCUUGAGUUCAGGAGUUCUGGGCUAUAGUGCACUAUGCCCAUCAGGUGUCCACACUAAGUUCAGCACCAAUAUGGAGACCUCCCUGGAGCAGGGACCACCAGGUUGCCUAAGGAAGGGUGAACCAGCCCAGGCUGGAAAUGGAGGAGGUCAAAACUCUCGUGCUCAUCAGUAGUGGAAUAGUGCCUGUGAAUAGCCAUCGUACUCCAGCCUGGGCAACAUAGUGAGACCCCGUCUCCU